GCUUACACAUGCAAGUCGAACGGUGAAAGCGGAGCUUGCUCCGCCGGAUCAGUGGCGAACGGGUGAGUAACACGUGAGCAAUCUGCCCCAGACUCUGGGAUAAGCGCUGGAAACGGCGUCUAAUACCGGAUACGAGCUACGAAGGCAUCUUCAGUAGCUGGAAAGAAUUUCGGUCUGGGAUGAGCUCGCGGCCUAUCAGCUUGUUGGUGAGGUAACGGCUCACCAAGGCGUCGACGGGUAGCCGGCCUGAGAGGGUGACCGGCCACACUGGGACUGAGACACGGCCCAGACUCCUACGGGAGGCAGCAGUGGGGAAUAUUGCACAAUGGGCGCAAGCCUGAUGCAGCAACGCCGCGUGAGGGACGACGGCCUUCGGGUUGUAAACCUCUUUUAGCAGGGAAGAAGCCUUCGGGUGACGGUACCUGCAGAAAAAGCACCGGCUAACUACGUGCCAGCAGCCGCGGUAAUACGUAGGGUGCAAGCGUUAUCCGGAAUUAUUGGGCGUAAAGAGCUCGUAGGCGGUCUGUCGCGUCUGCUGUGAAACCCCGAGGCUCAACCUCGGGCCUGCAGUGGGUACGGGCAGACUAGAGUGCGGUAGGGGAGAUUGGAAUUCCUGGUGUAGCGGUGGAAUGCGCAGAUAUCAGGAGGAACACCGAUGGCGAAGGCAGAUCUCUGGGCCGUAACUGACGCUGAGGAGCGAAAGGGUGGGGAGCAAACAGGCUUAGAUACCCUGGUAGUCCACCCCGUAAACGUUGGGAACUAGUUGUGGGGUCCAUUCCACGGAUUCCGUGACGCAGCUAACGCAUUAAGUUCCCCGCCUGGGGAGUACGGCCGCAAGGCUAAAACUCAAAGGAAUUGACGGGGACCCGCACAAGCGGCGGAGCAUGCGGAUUAAUUCGAUGCAACGCGAAGAACCUUACCAAGGCUUGACAUAUACGAGAACGGGCCAGAAAUGGUCAACUCUUUGGACACUCGUAAACAGGUGGUGCAUGGUUGUCGUCAGCUCGUGUCGUGAGAUGUUGGGUUAAGUCCCGCAACGAGCGCAACCCUCGUUCUAUGUUGCCAGCACGUAAUGGUGGGAACUCAUGGGAUACUGCCGGGGUCAACUCGGAGGAAGGUGGGGAUGACGUCAAAUCAUCAUGCCCCUUAUGUCUUGGGCUUCACGCAUGCUACAAUGGCCGGUACAAAGGGCAGCAAUACCGCGAGGUGGAGCGAAUCCCAAAAAGCCGGUCCCAGUUCGGAUUGAGGUCUGCAACUCGACCUCAUGAAGUCGGAGUCGCUAGUAAUCGCAGAUCAGCAACGCUGCGGUGAAUACGUUCCCGGGUCUUGUACACACCGCCCGUCAAGUCAUGAAAGUCGGUAACACCUGAAGCCGGUGGCCCAACCCUUGUGGAGGGAGCCGUCGAAGUGAAUCC
rnacentral:rRNA from 1 species